rnacentral:ncRNA from 1 species
GUCGGCGUGGUGACGGUGGAGCCCAAGCCGGUGCCGGUGAUUACCGAUUUGCCCGGGCGCACCAGCGCGUACCUCGUUGCGCAGGUGCGCGCGCGCGUGGACGGCAUCGUGCAGCGCCGCGAAUUCACCGAGGGUAGCGAGGUCAAGACCGGCCAGCGGCUGUACAAGAUCGA